GAAAGCUUUCAGCUUUAAGCCAGUUAUUAAAACCCCUUUUGAUUUGUUAAAACAUCUUGCGGUCUGGCAACUGCAAAAGUUCAACAAGAAAUCAAAAG
rnacentral:sRNA from 1 species